AGAACCAACAGCAGGAAUGGAGCUUCCUGCCCAAUGCUGGGCUUUAGUCUCAGCUGCAUGGGUUCGAGUCCUCAGUCUAAUGUUCCCAUGGGCAAUGAGAGGGAAGUGACUUGGCCUCUCUGGACAUUUGCUUCCCUAGUAGCAGAACAUGGUUAAUAAUGCUCCACCCAUAAUUAUCUCCAGAAUUUAAAACCAGGCAUGGUCCUUGUGAAUAUACCACAGACCACUGAACUGUACACUUAAAAAUGGUGAAAGGCCAGGGGUUUAACUCAGUGGUGCCAAUGCCUGCCUCGAAAAUGCAAGGCCCUGAGUUCGAUCCCCGGUACCAAAAAAACCCCCAAAAUGGUGCUGUUUGUGGUGUGUGAAUAAUAUCUUUUUAAAGAAAUGUAAGUAUGUCGUGUUUGGUCCAGCUUUUUGAUAAUAAAACAGGGGUGCCAGGGAUUUAGCUCAGUGACACCGUGCUGGCUUCAAAAGCACAAGGACCCAAGUUUGAUCCCUAGUACCAAAAGAAAAGUAAACAGGGGUGAUCACUGCUAGCAACAGAAUUUCCCAAGUGGCCCCACACCAGGCUGGCCACACAGCAGGUGAUGGAGAACAUAGCCCACAAGCAUGUUUUUCUGCUGGGCACAGUGGCACACGCCUAUAAUCCCAGCAUUUGGAGGCUGAGGCAGGAGGAUCGCCACAAGUUCAAGGCCAGCCUGGGCUACAUAGUGAGACUUUGUCUCAAAAAAAAAAAAAAAAGCAUAUUUUUCUGUGCCUAGCAUAUGAGGCUGGGGACCCAGAGGUUUCCAGUCCUCAGCACAAGCUGCCUGGUGUCUGUCUCACCAGAGGAUAGAAUGCUAGCCCCACCUUCACAGGAACAGAAGAUAACCUGGGACCUGAAGACUUGGAUGCUCCAAGGCAUGGCCACCCACUUCAGGCAUCUGACCUUAUGUUUUCUUUAUCCAGUCUUUUACAGAGCUGUGGUUUCAAACACAUUCAUAGCCAUGUUUUGGUGGCAGAACCGAGCUCGGCUGUUCCUGAGCCACGGAAAGCAGAACCGCUCGCCCGCGCCGCGCCGGAGGAACGCGUUCUGCUGUUCUUCUCCACUCCCCAGGGUGUGAUGUCUUGGGAAUCCACUUCCAACAGAACCCGUGGCCCAUCUGCCACAGGCGCGGCCCAGGGGCGCGAAGCUUCCGGCUCGGCCCCAGGC
rnacentral:lncRNA from 1 species